rnacentral:rRNA from 1 species
UAGUCCACGCUGUAAACGAUGAGUGCUAGGUGUUGGGUAGCGAUACUCAGUGCCGAAGUAAACACAAUAAGCACUCCGCCUGGGGAGUACGGUCGCAAGACUGAAACUCAAAGGAAUUGACGGGGACCCGCACAAGCAGCGGAGCAUGUGGUUUAAUUCGAAGCAACGCGAAGAACCUUACCAAGGUUUGACAUCCCCUUGACAGAUGCAGAGAUGUGUCCUCCCCUUCGGGGGCAAGGGAGAC